ensembl:snoRNA
UUCAGUGAACACACAAGUGUGCCUGCCAAUUCCCUUGGUUUUAACUCUGCUCCAGCAGGGUCUGUUCUUUUCCUCUGCAUUGAAAGGAGUUUUUAUCCUUCUAAAUAUAUUCAGGAAGUCUGCAUAUGA